GUAUAGCUCAGUGGUAGAAUACUUGUCUAGCAAGCAUGAGGUCCUGAGUUCAAAUCUUAGUAC
rnacentral:tRNA from 1 species